rnacentral:rRNA from 1 species
UUGACCUCAAAUCAGGUAGGACUACCCGCUGAACUUAAGCAUAUCAAUAAGCGGAGGAAAAGAAACUAACAAGGAUUCCCCUAGUAACUGCGAGUGAAGCGGGAAAAGCUCAAAUUUAAAAUCUGGCGGUCUCUGGCUGUCCGAGUUGUAAACUAGAGAAGUGUUAUCCGUGCUGGACCAUGUAUAAGUCUCCUGGAACGGAGCGUCAUAGAGGGUGAGAAUCCCGUCUUUGACAUGGACUACCAGUGCAUUGUGAUAUGCUCUCAAAGAGUCGAGUUGUUUGGGAAUGCAGCUCAAAAUGGGUGGUAAAUUCCAUCUAAAGCUAAAUAUUGGCGAGAGACCGAUAGCGAACAAGUACCGUGAGGGAAAGAUGAAAAGAACUUUGGAAAGAGAGUUAAACAGUACGUGAAAUUGUUGAAAGGGAAACGCUUGAAGUCAGUCACAUUGGCUGGAGAUCAACCUUGCUUUUGGAAGGUGUACUCUCUGGUUGAUGGGUCAGCAUCAAUUUUGACCAUUGGAAAAAGGUUAGGGGAAUGUGGCAUCCUUGGAUGUGUUAUAGCCCUUGAUUGUAUACAGUGGUUGGGAUUGAGGAACUCAGCA